AAACCAAACAAACCCCAAACCCUGGUUCAUAAUCUGUGUCAGGAGCUGGGUUACCAACUGGCAGAGAUGUUGGCUUUCCAUUUGAUAGUUUUUCUCCAGCUUGGCAUCAGCAUGAGGCUUGGCAGUGUAAGACAUCUGGCACUAUCUGCUUGCUAGGACUGCGCUGUGCCUCCUUUCCUUUUGUUACCUGCUUGUGGCAUACUGAUGGUGCAUGGAGUGGAUGAGUGAGUGGCAAAGCUGCCAUCGAUUGUUUUACCACCCAGUCAGACUUCAAGUUGCCACUGCUUUAAAAUCUGAAAGCCAAGGGUGUUUCCAGACAGUUGUCAUUUUCAAGGUGGGAUUUUGUCACAUACCAGCAAAUUCAAAUA